rnacentral:rRNA from 1 species
CCUACGGGAGGCAGCAGUAGGGAAUCUUCCACAAUGGGCGAAAGCCUGAAGGAGCAAUGCCGCGUGAACGAGGAAGGUCUUCGGAUCGUAAAGUUCUGUUGUAGGGGAAAAAGAGCGGAGAGAGGAAAUGCUUUCUGAUUGAUAUUACCCUUCGAGGAAGCCACGGCUAACUACGUGCCAGCAGCCGCGGUAAUGCGUAGGUGGCGAGCGUUAUCCGGAAUUGGUGGGCGUAAAGGGUGCGUAGGCGGCCUGAUAGAUCUGGUGUGAAAGGUACCGGCUCAACCGGUACAGGCUCUGGAAACUGGCAAGCUAGAGAGCAGGAGAGGGCAGUGGAACUCCAUGUGUAGCGGUGAAAUGCGUAGAUAUAUGGAGGAACACCAGUGGCGAAGGCGGCCUCCUGGCCUGUUACUGACGCUGAGGCACGAAAGCGUGGGGAGCAAACAGGAUUAGAUACCCUGGUAGUC